UUGGCAAGGCUUUUCUAACAAUGGCUCAUUAAUAUUCGGUGGCGCAGGCUUGCCAGGAGAGCGCAAGAGUUCUCAGCUCCCUGCCCUGGGCACCGAAGACCCCCUCGGGCUACUUAGCAAUCCCUGGCCCCGGAGGCAGCCCUCCGCCAGCGCGGCGCUGUGGGGCGCUGCUCCAAGAUCUAAGACCGAUAAAAACAGACCUAGUCUGGGGUAGCUCCUCCUGGGCCUGAGUCAUCUAUGCAAAAACAAAUUUGUUCCUUUUUGCAGUGUUUGUUGUCUUUGUCUUGAAACGUAGUCUUUACGCUUCCCAAGCAGCAUGCCGGUCCUAAGACUGCGAAGACUUCUUUGACUCUUGCAGACACGCAUUUUUGAGAAUGCCCCUGGUUUUCUGGAAGGCCUGAGGAGAGGUGCUGAGCCCAGCAGGUUUCCGCCCCAGGAUGUGGAAUAAGUUUUUGCCGGGCACAACAUCUUUGUAUGUGGUGCUGAGGAUCGAACUCGGGCUGCACGCAUGCCAGG